UACGUAGGGUGCGAGCGUUAAUCGGAAUUACUGGGCGUAAAGCGCGCGCAGGCGGGCGAGUAAGUCAGAAGUGAAAUUCCGGGGCUCAACCCCGGAGCUGCUCCUGAUACUGCACGUCUGGAGACCGGUAGAGGCUGGUGGAAUUCCCGGUGUAGUGGUGAAAUGCGUAGAUAUCGGGAGGAACACCAGUGGCGAAGGCGACUACCUGGCCUGUUCUUGACGCUGAGGCGCGAAAGCUGGGGGAGCAAACGGGG
rnacentral:rRNA from 1 species